rnacentral:lncRNA from 1 species
AAAGAGAGGAUUUUAGAGAGAUAAGUGAGAGAGAGUUUAGAGAGAAGGUUCAUCAUUUUCUUCUUCUUCUUCAAAAAAAAAAAGAAAAACCCUAACAAAAAUCUUCCUCAAACACCAUCAAGAGGUCAUCUUUACCUCUUCUACUCUUCACAAAGGAGCUAGCAUUCAAGGUGAGGAUCAUGGUGGUUUCCAAAUUCAAAAAGGAUCCAUCUUUCUCUUCAUCUUUUCUAAAAACCCAGUUGUUGUUGUUGUGUGCUUGUGGUGAGCUUGUGAUCCCCUUGGCUUCUUGUUUGUGAAAAGAGUUUUGGAAAAAAGGUUGAAGCUUGAUGUUAAGGCUUCAAUCUCUAGUGUUUUGAACCAUAUAUUUCGAAAAUGGAGAGCCAAGGAAGAAAACUACUCAUCAUAAAACUUUUUCUUGUUCAAAAGGUUAAAUCUUGAUGUUUCAAUGUUCUCACGAAGUACAGACUUCAAGAGUAGGUUUUCAAGCUUGUUUCUUAAAAGUCUUUGAGGCUAAAAGUUCAGUUUUUAACUCUCAAAGAUCACUCAAAGUGCUGUUUCAAACUCAAACCCUUGAACUCUUAAGACUAAGUUGAUUCAUGAGAAGUCCUAGACUUAGUUAAGAGUGUGUGUGAUUUCUAUGUGAUUUUGGUGAUUGAUGGUUGUGUGCAUUGUGUGUUUGUGUGAAGGUGAGGAACACCUUGAAGGAAAUCAGACUAGAGAAGUUAAGGAGAAAGCCAAGGAUCGAGG